ensembl:lncRNA
CAGGUAUAGCUGCUCAUCUUAUUGUUUUUUUCUCUUCAGUGUAUUCAAGGUCAGUCAAAUGAGCUGUUUAAAUACCUAAUGUUCCACAAGCUAACACCAACAGAUGAUAAUGAAGAUAACAAUAAAAUCCAGUAAUGUGAAGGAAGAAUUUUUAAGUAAACAUAACCAUGAAAAUACUUGUAUUAUUAUAUUUGUUCUUGUUCCAAGAGUUCACAGCAUAACUACAUUCAGUAAAGUUUCAAUAACAGAUGGAAAAUGUGUCUUCAUCCAAUGUUUCUAUGACUCCAAAUAUAUAUACUUGUACUUGUAUAAAGUUCUUGUAUGAUGGAUAUUGUUGGUAAUUUUGUCUAAUCAGAAAUGUAGUGCAUUUAUUACGUGUAUGUAGUUGAGAUCAAUGGAAGGUCAGAUGACAUGAAGUAUUGUUAUAUAUGUGGCACCAGGUGUAUCAUAAGUAUAUUUCAGUAUAUUUUACAUAGACUAUUAUUGUUGAUGAUUUUUUAUUUUACUUUUUUUUUUUUUUUUACAUUUGUUCAGAGUAAGAAUGUUGUAGAGCUGAGACAGUUACACAAACCAGAUUUUUAUUUGAUCUUAUUUUAUUUUUGCUCUAAGUUGUUUUCUUUAAUUAAUGUUUUUGUUGUUUUCUCUUUUUUGUUUUUUUCUAUGAUUAUAUUAUGAUUAUGGAUUUACCUGUUUUGGUGCAAGACUAACGGUAGGAUUUAUAGAGAGUUGUCCAUCUCUAGAAAGAAUGCACCCUCUCCCUUUAAUGAAACUAUUGGCUGUUACUGGUAAUAGGCUGCUACUAGUCCUACUGCUGGUGUGAAAGAAGGAUGCAAUAAGGCUCCAUCUUGUGGUGGGUUUGAUAUGUAGUUAGACAUUUAAUUUGAGAGAACUGAGUGACAUUACUAAUUAUGAUUGAGUGGAUCUGCUGUAUGAUUGAGUUACUGAGGGGGGUGGGCUGAAGAAUGGCUGCUCACAAGGGGAGACCCAAAUAUGAUAUCUACAUGAAGGAAUGUUCAUUUAUUUAACAUUUCUCCAUGAGCAUGGUACAUGUUACCAGCUAAUGUCACAUAUGCUACUAAAACCAUCACUAACUACUGCAAGUGAUUAUAAAUUCUACAUUAAUUCCAAAUAUCAGUAAAUUUUAAUACCUGAAGACAGAGAAGAUACUUUAUUGUCACAAGAGGUCACCACAGCAGUUGGCACCACAUGUUUGAUUUAACAGAAAUUCAUGUUGGAUUUCUUUUCUGACAUAAUCUCAAUGAAGAUUUGUGUUUUUAGAUGGAACUGAAUCAGCAACCUUUCACUUGCCACAUGAACAUACUGUAAUAUGGACCCACUCUUAGAGAGAGAGAGAUUAGAAUACAUUCGAUUACUAUACUAAUUACUGCCUUUUUUAAAUUGUAGAUACUACUCAUACUAUAUGGGAGACAGCAUAUUUAAAAAAGGGGCAACCCAGCUCGGAUAUCUUUUGUAUUUUUCUGCAUUAUUUCUUUGCAUUAUUCCAGUUCCCUGUCCAUUACUCUGUGGAC